AGAGACAGGGUUUCACCGUGUUAUCCAGAAUGGUCUCGAUCUCCUGACCUCGUGAUCCGCCUGCCUCGGCCUCCCAAAGUGCUGGGAUUACAGGCGUGAGCCACCGCGCCCAGCCUAGGAGCUUUUGUUUUUAAAGUCCAAUGACUGAAAGAGUUUACCAAAAUGGCCUGGUGUCAUCCAGCUUCAUGAUGUGAAUGUCUUUAGAUCUACUACUCUAAGGAGCUGCCCACAUCAGCUAUGUCCCCUGAGGAUUCUUCUAAUUGUUCUGUGGAAUGUGGAGAUGUCUGUGCAUUACGUGACUAUCUGAAAAUCAGCGAUUUCAGAAUGGUGACUCACAGAUCUGGGAUCGGGGAAAAGGAAAAAAUUGUGAGAAACUAAACAGACGUCACCUUUUUCAUAUUUUUGAGCUUGACUGGAAUCAAGAUUUCACAUGGCACUUCGAGGACAGGAUUAUUAAUAGCCUUUGUGUCAGCCUGAUGGUAAAGCUUUCUCUUUGAAUCCUU
rnacentral:lncRNA from 1 species